rnacentral:misc_RNA from 1 species
AACGCAAAUUGCACUCUUCGGUAUUCCGAGGAGUAUGCCUGUUUGAGGGUCGCUUAAUAAACAUCGAUUUCAUUGCUUUUUUAAAGUGAUGUUUAUCGGAUUUGAGCCGUCUUUUUUUAUAUAUUAUAUAUAUUUUAAAAGUGACUUGAAAUUGAUUUUUCUGGUAUGAUCGAAGCGUAUUUUAUGAUCAAUUUUUGGUUAAAGAAACGCACGCGUACCUUCAUUCAUAUGAUGUAAUACGUUUGACUAUUGGAUUUAGUUCAUUCGUAUAUGAUAUUUUUCAAAUUUUGACCUCAAAUCAGGUAAGAACACCCGCUGAACUUAA